UCAUGGCUCAGGAUGAACGCUAGCUACAGGCUUAACACAUGCAAGUCAGGGGAAACGAUAUUGGAAGCUUGCUUCCGAUAGGCGUCGACCGGCGCACGGGUGAGUAACGCGUAUCCAACCUGCCCAUCACUUGGGGAUAACCUUGCGAAAGUAAGACUAAUACCCAAUGACGUCUCUAGAAGACAUCUGAAGGAGAUUAAAGAUUUAUCGGUGAUGGAUGGGGAUGCGUCUGAUUAGCUUGUUGGCGGGGUAACGGCCCACCAAGGCGACGAUCAGUAGGGGUUCUGAGAGGAAGGUCCCCCACAUUGGAACUGAGACACGGUCCAAACUCCUACGGGAGGCAGCAGUGAGGAAUAUUGGUCAAUGGACGAGAGUCUGGACCAGCCAAGUAGCGUGCAGGAUGACGGCCCUAUGGGUUGUAAACUGCUUUUAUAAGGGAAUAAAGUGGGAGUCGUGACUCUUUUUGCAUGUACCUUAUGAAUAAGGACCGGCUAAUUCCGUG
rnacentral:rRNA from 1 species